rnacentral:rRNA from 1 species
GACGCACGCUGGCGGCGUGCUUAACGCAUGCAAGUCGAGCGGUAAGGCCCUUUCGGGGGUACACGAGCGGCGAACGGGUGAGUAACACGUGGGUGACCUGCCCUUAGCUCUGGGAUAAGCCUGGGAAACUGGGUCUAAUACCGGAUAUGACUCCAUGACGCAUGUUGUGGGGUGGAAAGCCUUGUGCGGCUAGGGAUGGGCCCGCGGCCUAUCAGCUUGUUGGUGGGGUGAUGGCCUACCAAGGCGACGACGGGUAGCCGGCCUGAGAGGGCGACCGGCCACACUGGGACUGAGACACGGCCCAGACUCCUACGGGAGGCAGCAGUGGGGAAUCUUGCGCAAUGGGCGAAAGCCUGACGCAGCGACGCCGCGUGGGGAUGACGGCCUCGGUGUAACC